GACGAACGCUGGCGGCGUGCCUAAUACAUGCAAGUCGAGCGAAUCAAUAGGAGCUUGCUCCUGUUGGUUAGCGGCGGACGGGUGAGUAACACGUGGGCAACCUGCCUGUAAGACUGGGAUAACACCGGGAAACCGGUGCUAAUACCGGAUAAUCCUUUUCCUCUCAUGAGGAAAAGCUGAAAGUCGGUUUCGGCUGACACUUACAGAUGGGCCCGCGGCGGAUUAGCUAGUGGGUGAGGUAACGGCUCACCAAGGCGACGAUGCGUAGCCGACCCGAGAGGGUGAUCGGCCACAAUGGGACUGAGACACGGCCCAGACUCCUACGGGAGGCAGCAGUAGGGAAUCUUCCACAAUGGACGAAGGUCUGAUGGAGCAACGCCGCGUGAGCGAUGAAGGCCUUCGGGUCGUAAAGCUCUGUUGUUAGGGAAGAACAAGUACAAGAGUAACUGCUUGUACCUUGACGGUACCUAACCAGAAAGCCACGGCUAACUACGUGCCAGCCGCCGCAGUAAUAC
rnacentral:rRNA from 1 species